rnacentral:rRNA from 1 species
GUUGACCUCGGAUCAGGUAGGGAUACCCGCUGAACUUAAGCAUAUCAAUAAGCGGAGGAAAAGAAACCAACAGGGAUUGCCCCAGUAACGGCGAGUGAAGCGGCAAGAGCUCAAAUUUGAAAGCUGGCUCCUUCGGGGUCCGCAUUGUAAUUUGCAGAGGAUGCUUCGGGAGCGGUCCCCAUCUAAGUGCCCUGGAACGGGCUGUCAUAGAGGGUGAGAAUCCCGUAUGGGAUGGGGUGCCCGCGCCCGUGUGAAGCUCCUUCGACGAGUCGAGUUGUUUGGGAAUGCAGCUCUAAAUGGGUGGUAAAUUUCAUCUAAAGCUAAAUAUUGGCCGGAGACCGAUAGCGCACAAGUAGAGUGAUCGAAAGAUGAAAAGCACUUUGAAAAGAGAGUUAAAAAGCACGUGAAAUUGUUGAAAGGGAAGCGUUUGCGACCAGACUCGCCUACGGGGUUCAGCCUGCCUUCGGGCAGGUGUACUUCCCCGUGGGCGGGCCAGCGUCGGUUUGGGCGGCCGGUCAAAGGCCCUCGGAAUGUAACGCCUCUCGGGGCGUCUUAUAGCCGAGGGUGCCAUGCGGCCUGCCCGGACCGAGGAACGCGCUUCGGCUCGGACGCUGGCUUAAUGGUCGUAAACGACC